rnacentral:lncRNA from 1 species
AUGGCAUAUCACAUCAUCAUAGUAAGACAGGACUCUACAUCCUAUCCUAGUGGACAUGACUUUUCCUAUUGUGCUUGACCUUCUAUAACCUCUAUGAGCCCGACACUCUAGGUCCGACCAUGUGAACCUAGGGCUCUGAUACCACUCUGGAAUGCCCCGGAAAUCCGGACCGCUACCGGCGCUAGGAUUCAGGUCGGCUUAAGGCCGCCGGAACCCGUAGCAAGCCUACAUACAUCCUGUUUACCUGUUUAAUCCCAUACAUGAUCAACAAACAUACAUAAGAAUUAAAAACUUUUCUUUUUCUUCAUACACCAAACUCAACCUGUGCAUGCACUGUAUUCAUCAUAUACAUAAACAUUAAUCCCUCUGUGGGAUUUCAUCAAAGCCUCAAUGGCAAUAUAUAUUCUGUGUUGAGUUGGUUCACAUAUACAUCAUAAAAUAAGAUCAUGUACAUACCAAGGGAUUAACAAAUACUAUGGUCAAGCACAACUCUAUCCUCAAUAACAUAAUUACAUAAACUUUACAUUACAUUCUUAUCAUUUGUCAUGUCCACAU